rnacentral:rRNA from 1 species
UACGUACAAGCAGUGGGAGCACAGGUUUACCUGUGUGACUGCGUACCUUUUGUAUAAUGGGUCAGCGACUUAUAUUCUGUAGCAAGGUUAACCGUAUAGGGGAGCCGGAGGGAAACCGAGUCUUAAUUGGGCGUUAAGUUGCAGGGUAUAGACCCGAAACCCGGUGAUCUAGCCAUGGGCAGGUUGAAGGUUGGGUAACACUAACUGGAGGACCGAACCGACUAAUGUUGAAAAAUUAGCGGAUGACCUGUGGCUGGGGGUGAAAGGCCAAUCAAACCGGGAGAUAGCUGGUUCUCCCCGAAAGCUAUUUAGGUAGCGCCUCGUGAAUUCAUCUCCGGGGGUAGAGCACUGUUUCGGCUAGGGGGCCAUCCCGGCUUACCAACCCGAUGCAAAC